UACGAAGGGGGCUAGCGUUGCUCGGAAUUACUGGGCGUAAAGAGCGUGUAGGCGGCCACUUAAGUCCUGCGUGAAAUCUUGCGGCUCAACCGCAAGCGGUCGUGGGAAACUGGGUGGCUAGAGUCCGGAAGAGGAGAAUGGAAUUCCUGGUGUAGCGGUGAAAUGCGCAGAUAUCAGGAAGAACACCCGUGGCGAAGGCGGUUCUCUGGGACGGUACUGACGCUGAGACGCGAAAGCGUGGGGAGCGAACAGG
rnacentral:rRNA from 1 species